AAGGAAGGGGGGGGGGGGGAGAAUAAAUGGAAGUUGCGCGAUGAAGAUUGGUGCUUGCACUAAUUUGAAGAGGCGCGAACGGGGGAGUAACGACUGGGGAAUAUGAACUUGAGCGGGGGACAACCUUUGGAAACGAAUGCUAAUACCCCAUAACAACUUUAAACAUAAGUUUUCAGUUUGAAAGAUGCCAUUUCAUCACUCAAAGAUGAUCCCGCGUUGUAUUAGCUAGUUGGUGAGGUAAAGGCUCAACAAGGCGAUGAUACAUAUCCGACCUGAGAGGGUGAUCGGCCACAAUGGGAAUGGGACACGGCCCAAACUCCUACGGGAGGCAGCAGUAGGGAAUCUUCGGCAAUGGACGAAAGUCUGAACGAGCAACGCCGCGUGAGUGAAGAAGGUUUUCGGAUCGUAAAACUCUGUUGGUAGAGAAGAACGUUGGGGGGAGUGGAAAGCUCAUGAAGUGACGGUAACUACCCAGAAAGGGACGGCUAACUACGUC
rnacentral:rRNA from 1 species